GGGAGAUGAAAAUGCUAUAAUGCCUGAAGGAUUGCAUUUUCAACCUAAGGGGUAUGGCACGUCGAGCAGUGGCCUGAGGUAGGAUGAUAGGAAUUACACUUUCAACUAUGGAUUUGCCGUCUCCAGCAGCUUUAGGGAAAGUUUUACUACUGAAUUCAAUAAAAUUUGUGAUUAUAUAACUUCAAAAAGUUUGAACAUUGGGAUAGAGAAGAAAUUGAUUG